UAGAGUAAUUGGUAACUCGUCAGGCUCAUAAUCUGAAAUGUGUAGGUUCGAAUCCUAC
rnacentral:tRNA from 1 species